CGGCGUGCAUAACACAUGCAAGUCGAACGAGGAAACUCCGGGCUUGCUCGGAGGAGUCAAAGUGGCGCACGGGUGAGUAACGCGUGGGUAACCUACCCUUGAAUCUGGAAUAACUCGCCGAAAGGCGGACUAAUACCGGAUAUCGUUCCGGAGGCGCAUGUCUUUGGGAUGAAAGGUGACCUCUUCAUGAAAGUUGCCGUUCAGGGACGGGCUCGCGUACCAUUAGCUAGUUGGUAGGGUAAUGGCCUACCAAGGCGACGAUGGUUAGCUGGUCUGAGAGGAUGAUCAGCCACACUGGAACUGGAACACGGUCCAGACUCCUACGGGAGGCAGCAGUGAGGAAUUUUGCGCAAUAGGGGAAACCCUGACGCAGCAACGCCGCGUGAGUGAAGAAGGCCUUCGGGUCGUAAAGCUCUGUCAAGUGGGAAAAAAGUCAACCAGUGAAUAGCUGGUUGGCCUGAUGGUACCACUAGAGGAAGCACCGGCUAACUCCGUGCCAGCAGCCGCGGUAA
rnacentral:rRNA from 1 species